rnacentral:tRNA from 1 species
AGGCUGUGGCUCAGUGGUAGAAUGCUUGCCUGGCAUGCAUGAGGCACUGGGUUGAUCCUCAGCACCUA